rnacentral:rRNA from 1 species
UUAAGUGACGAUAGCCUAGGAGAUACACCUGUACCCAUGCCGAACACAGAAGUUAAGCCCUAGAACGCCGGAAGUAGUUGGGGGUCGCCCCCUGUGAGAUAGGGAAGUCGCUUAGC